rnacentral:rRNA from 1 species
AGCUUUAUGCUCUCUAAUAAAGUAACUCCUGCUCAGUGAACACAAACAGCCGCAGAAUUUUAUACUGUGCUAAGGUAGCAUAAUCACUUGUCUUUUAAUUAAAGAAUAGAAUGAACGGAAACACGAAUUUUAACCUGUUUCACAUUUUUACAAUAAAAUUACCAAAAAGUAAAAACACUUUUUCAUAAAAAAAAGACGAUAAGACCCUAAAGAACUUAACUAAAGUUAAGCUGGGGCGGCUUUUUAAAAAAAUCUUAUUCAAUAUUAAUAUCACCUUACUAAAUUCUUAAAGUUACCUUAGGGAUAACAGCAUAAUCUAAUUUUAUAGCUCUUAUUCAAAAUUAAGAUUAUGACCUCGAUGUUGAAUUAAAAAUCUUUUAAACGAAAAAAAUUAGAAAGAAAGUCUGUUCGACUUUUAAAUAUUUACA